rfam:Rattus norvegicus chromosome 2, whole genome shotgun sequence.
GGGGAUUUAGCUCAGCGGUAGAGCGCUUGCCUAGAGAGCACAAGGCCCUGGGUUCGGUCCCCAGCUCCG